AGUUUCAAUUCCAAGCCAAGCAGGAAAACCACAGAUCUCAAGCGACUGCUUUUUGGACCUGUUCCUAACUGACAAGUCCCUUCAGUUUCCAACACUUCUCGGACUCCUGAGAUUCCUGGCCAGACACUCAAGGUCAAAAAUGUGGUUUUAACUUUCUGUUUCACUAUCCCCAUGUGGAAUAAGGAACUACUACUCCUGUACUUUAAGGCAGGAGUCUCCGUUUAAUGUUUCUACAGCAUUUUGAGAUCCUCAGAAGCAAGGUGAUAUACACAAAGUGCCUACAGUUUGGAUGGUUAGAGUUGAAGAACAGCUAGCAUCUCAAAUGCAGUUUCAUGCAGUGGAGGUCCCUGGCACGACACCUGUGAACUGCCCAGAAACGCUCUGGGCACGCGCACACCCCGGCCCCACAACGCCCCGGCUAGCUUCAGCCCACCCUGACCCCCAGUGCCACAGAAAGCUCAGCGCGGAGCCAGCUGGCUCCAGAAGAAAUACAGCUGCCAGAAGUCAGGAUUUAUUUGCUCAGGUCAAAAGGGUGAAUUUCAUUGAAACAGAAUAAAAAUGUCCACCUGCAGAGAAUGCAAUGCAGGCGAGAAAACCGAGAAGGAAACGAGCCUGAAUGUGACUCACAUCACCACCAACGAAACACCGCCUGGUGCCUCGAACUAGGAGAAGAGGUUUUAACCCUGUGUAAGGAAACGGCUACCUCAAGAUUUUGGAUAACGUCAGAAGUUCCAUGGGGCAAGAUCUUCAUCCAGUAUGAACUGCAAGAGAUUUCUCUGCCUUCAAAGUAACACUGACCAUUUGCUCUCCUUCAUCUUCUCAAAAACCAGGAAAUGAUCAGAACACGGCUGGUUUGCGUUUGAGUAGGCUUUUAGGUGAGGAUUUCAUAGGGGCUAAUAGCAACCUGUAACGAAACCACGGCACACAGCUUGCUUCAGCUCAGCGGGUUCACCCCACCUCAGGCAAGACAAGCCGUUCUGCUGCAAGAAGAGCGUAAUUCUACUUCCCUCAACACCAAUGACAAAAUCUCUCUAAUUUCCGGAUUACACUCAAAGAAUUCAUGAAAGACAUUAAUUUGACAGUCUGGGACUCUCAUCCUUCCUAACCACAGAGGAGAUGCGACAGCGGAGCAGUGACGACUCUGCCAAUGCGCCUCUGCACAAAGCCGCAGCUCCUGGAAGCAGAAGGGAGCUGCUCUUUCUCCGCUCCCCUUCAGUCCUUGACCUCUCAACAGCAACUAUCAACAAACCAUGUUCUCUGUGCCGAUUGCGAGCUGUAGACAUCUGGCUACCACGAACAAAUAAACCAUUCAUUCAUUUCAGACAUCAGUUGACGAUUUUUAACUGCUGUUGGUCUGGGACAUGGUGAGGAGAAAUAGCCAGAACCACUUGCUUGAAGCAGGUGCCUAAUUUUCUUUUUCUCCUU